rnacentral:tRNA from 1 species
GUGCCUGUAGCUCAACUGGAUAGAGCGCUGGCCUCCGGAGCCAGAGGUUGCAGGUUCAACUCCUGCCAGGCAUA